rnacentral:rRNA from 1 species
UGCAAGUCGAACGAUGAAAGAGGGAGCUUGCUUCUUCUGGAUUAGUGGCGAACGGGUGAGUAACACGUGAGCAAUCUGCCCUUGACUCUGGGAUAAGCGUUGGAAACGACGUCUAAUACCGGAUACGACCCUCGGAGGCAUCUCCUGGGGGUGGAAAGAAUUUUGGUCAAGGAUGAGCUCGCGGCCUAUCAGCUAGUUGGUGAGGUAAUGGCUCACCAAGGCGACGACGGGUAGCCGGCCUGAGAGGGUGACCGGCCACACUGGGACUGAGACACGGCCCAGACUCCUACGGGAGGCAGCAGUGGGGAAUAUUGCACAAUGGGCGAAAGCCUGAUGCAGCAACGCCGCGUGAGGGAUGACGGCCUUCGGGUUGUAAACCUCUUUUAGUAGGGAAGAAGCGAAAGUGACGGUACCUGCAGAAAAAGCACCGGCUAACUACGUGCCAGCAGCCGCGGUAAUACGUAGGGUGCAAGCGUUGUCCGGAAUUAUUGGGCGUAAAGAGCUCGUAGGCGGUUUGUCGCGUCUGCUGUGAAAUCUGGGGGCUCAACCCCCAGCCUGCAGUGGGUACGGGCAGACUAGAGUGCGGUAGGGGAGAUUGGAAUUCCUGGUGUAGCGGUGGAAUGCGCAGAUAUCAGGAGGAACACCGAUGGCGAAGGCAGAUCUCUGGGCCGUAACUGACGCUGAGGAGCGAAAGCAUGGGGAGCGAACAGGAUUAGAUACCCUGGUAGUCCAUGCCGUAAACGUUGGGAACUAGAUGUGGGGACCAUUCCACGGUCUCCGUGUCGCAGCUAACGCAUUAAGUUCCCCGCCUCGUAACUGACGCUGAGGAGCGAAAGCAUGGGGAGCGAACAGGAUUAGAUACCCUGGUAGUCCAUGCCGUAAACGUUGGGAACUAGAUGUGGGGACCAUUCCACGGUCUCCGUGUCGCAGCUAACGCAUUAAGUUCCCCGCCUGGGGAGUACGGCCGCAAGGCUAAAACUCAAAGGAAUUGACGGGGGCCCGCACAAGCGGCGGAGCAUGCGGAUUAAUUCGAUGCAACGCGAAGAACCUUACCAAGACUUGACAUAUACGAGAACGCUGCAGAAAUGUAGAACUCUUUGGACACUCGUAAACAGGUGGUGCAUGGUUGUCGUCAGCUCGUGUCGUGAGAUGUUGGGUUAAGUCCCGCAACGAGCGCAACCCUCGUCCUAUGUUGCCAGCACGUAAUGGUGGGAACUCAUGGGAUACUGCCGGGGUCAACUCGGAGGAAGGUGGGGAUGACGUCAAAUCAUCAUGCCCCUUAUGUCUUGGGCUUCACGCAUGCUACAAUGGCCGGUACAAAGGGCUGCGAUACCGUAAGGUGGAGCGAAUCCCAAAAAGCCGGUCUCAGUUCGGAUUGAGGUCUGCAACUCGACCUCAUGAAGUCGGAGUCGCUAGUAAUCGCAGAUCAGCAACGCUGCGGUGAAUACGUUCCCGGGCCUUGUACACACCGCCCGUCAAGUCAUGAAAGUCGGUAACACCCGAAGCCGGUGGCCUAACCCC